CAUGUUCUGGCCUGCCACAGUGUGUGAGACUAGCGCUCGCUGCAACCAGAAAACGUCCCCUGGCAGAGAUCAGCAAUCAGAAGUCACUGGACCUCUUCAAUAAGGACAGAGAAAUACAGCUGUAAAAGUGAGCAGGACUUGAAGAGCUCAGUUACUGAGUACAACGUGUGAGUUUUCCGCAAUCAAGUGGUAACAGAGAGUAGUCUGUUCAGAUCCCACUUAGCUCUACUGCUUGGGUGCAAGAGGGAACUUAUUUUAGCCGUCGGCCCAAAUAUAUUGGUUAAAUUAUUACCAUUUUAAUUUGGAGGCAGCUGAGAAAAUAUAUGGCAAUUACUCCCAGUGA